rnacentral:rRNA from 1 species
AGUAACGCGUGGGUAACCUGCCUCACACAGGGGGAUAGCAGUUGGAAACGGCUGAUAAUACCGCAUAAGCGCACAGUACCGCAUGGUACAGUGUGAAAAACUCCGGUGGUGUGAGAUGGACCCGCGUCUGAUUAGCUAGUUGGCGGGGUAACGGCCCACCAAGGCAACGAUCAGUAGCCGACCUGAGAGGGUGACCGGCCACAUUGGGACUGAGACACGGCCCAG